AACGGCCAUACCGUGCUGAAUAUACCGGUUCUCGUUAGAUCACCGAAGUCAAGCAUCAUUGGGCGCGGUCAGUACUUGGGUGGGUGACCACCUGGGAACACCGCGUGCCGU
rnacentral:rRNA from 1 species